rnacentral:rRNA from 1 species
UCUAUGGCCAUGCUACCCUGAAUGUGCCCAAUCUCAUCUGAUCUCAGAAGCUUAGCACAGUUGGUCCAGGUUAGUACUUUAGUACUCGGAUGGGAGAAAAGGCUUCUAUUAGAG